rnacentral:rRNA from 1 species
GACGAACGCUGGCGGCGUGCCUAAUACAUGCAAGUAGAACGCUGAAGGAGGAGCUUGCUUCUCUGGAUGAGUUGCGAACGGGUGAGUAACGCGUAGGUAACCUGCCUGGUAGCGGGGGAUAACUAUUGGAAACGAUAGCUAAUACCGCAUAAGAGUAGAUGUUGCAUGACAUUUGCUUAAAAGGUGCAAUUGCAUCACUACCAGAUGGACCUGCGUUGUAUUAGCUAGUUGGUGGGGUAACGGCUCACCAAGGCGACGAUACAUAGCCGACCUGAGAGGGGGGUCGGCCACCCUGGGACUGGGACACGGCCCAGACUCCUACGGGAGGCAGCAGUAGGGAAUCUUCGGCCAUGGACGGAAGUCUGACCGAGCCACGCCGCGUGAGUGAAGAAGGUUUUCGGGUCGUAAAGCUCUGUUGUAAGAGAAGAACGAGUGUGAGAGUGGAAAGUUCACACUGUGACGGUAUCUUACCAGAAAGGGACGGCUAACUACGUG